GCUUCCUGGUGAUUGGAUAAAGUAACUGUUUCUGAGAAAAAGAAGAGAAGUGUGUGCUUCCGGUGAGUUUUGUCUUAUGUGGCUGAAAUGUGAGGAACUUGGCAGACUUCCCAGUGUAUGAAAUCUGUGACAGACUGACAUAGGAAAGAAGAAAAAUCCCCACCAAAGUUACUAAAGUGAAAGUGAGCUAUCCUCACAUGGGAUCCUUCCUUAUAAGGGGGAAGACUUGAAAUGAAAACCAAAAUGCAGAAGGCCCUGUAAUAUUAUCUAGACAGUUAAAAGAGUUGCCAUGCAUAGUGCUUCUGUGUGGUGGCUGGGGACUCGAGCCUGGGUCCUUGCAUAUGGUAGUGGGUUUUUAGAGAAAAGAAUUCUCAUAUCCAUGCAACAGGCUAGGAAACUCAAGGACCAGUGAAGCUCUGGCUAAGACAGGGGAUGGUGCCAUUAUCCAGAUGAUACCAGGCAUCUAGCCACCAGGUUCUAGAUGCUAACAUGAUGCUACCGGACUUCCCUGGACAGUCAACCCCACCAAUGUGUCCUGUAGCUCCUCUUCCCCAGAACCCCGACAGACAGGCUCAGAGUAUGGAUCAAGCUGUCAAUGCCCAUGUUCAGCAGGGAAGCAAUUACAGGAGCCAGACCUUCCACCUUCUGCAUCCCAUAAUGACCCUUGUUUCAUACUCCCAGAGGGAUAAAGAAUAGGAAAGCUAUCAGGGGAGGGGAUGGGAUACGGAGUCUGGUGGUGGGAAUCGUGUGGAGUUGUACCUCUCUUAUCCUAUCGUUUUUGUCAGUGUUUCCUUUUUAUAAAUAAAACUUUAAAAAUUAAAAAAAAAAAAAAGAAUGACUGUUAAAAAUGACUUUGUUGGGGUUGGGUGGUGGUGCACUCAGUUGAGUGCACAUCUUACCAUGUGAAAGGACCUGUGUUCAAGCCCUGACUCUCCACCUGCAGAAAGGAAGCUUCAUGAAUAGUGAAGCAAUAUUGCAGGUCUCUCUCUGUCUCUCUCCCUAUCUUCUUCUCUCUCUCCUUCUCCUCUCAAUUUCUGUCUCUAUUCAGAAAAAGAAAGAAAAGAAGAACACAAGUGUUGCUAGGAGUGGUGGAACUAUAGUAUAGGCACUGAGCCCUACCAAUGACUUUGCCGUAUUCUGCUUGGUGACCUUUCUAAUCGACCUUUCCUUUCUCCUUUCCAAAGUCCUCUGCAUUAGCUACAUUGCUUUCUUAAAGUUUUUUUUUUUAAUAUUUAUUUAUUCCCUUUUGUUGCCCUUGUUUUAUUGUUGUUAUUGAUGUCAUUGUUAUUGGAUAAGACAGACAGAAAUCUCGAGAGGGGAGGGGAAGACGGGGAGAGAAAGAUAGACACCUGCAGACCUGCUUCACUGCUUGUGAAGCGACUCCCUUCCAGGUGGGGAGCCGAGGGCUUGAACCGGGAUCCUUACACUGGUCCUUGUGCUUCAGGCCACAUGCACUUAACCCGCUGCACUAACGUUCGACUCCCCAGCUACAUUACUAUAUAUUAUUAUGUUACACAAUGUGUAAUAUUAUAAAUAUAAAAUGCUGUGCAGAAUACCAUACUGCCAUUAAAAAAGAUGGCAUUACGUCUUUUGGGACAAAAUGGGUGGAGCUGGCAGUGACUGCACAUGAACUAAACAUUAUAAAAAUGGCACAUUGUAUAAUGUAGGUUUUAUGUUAUAUAAUGAACUAGAUGUUAUCUGGGGGCUGGAAAGACUCAGCAGGUAAAGCACAUGCCUUGCCAUAUGUGAAACCUAGGCUUACUCCCAGGAAUCACAUGGGAGCACCAUGAACAGCACCAGGAGGGAACUCCAUGGAUGGUGGAAUCUUGCUUUGGUGUCUCUCUUUCUCUGCCUCUCUUCUUCCUUUAAUAAACUUGGGCCAGGGUGAUAGCUCAGUGUUAUCACAUAUGCACAAGGCCGUAGGCUC